rnacentral:rRNA from 1 species
AUUGAACGCUGGCGGAAUGCUUUACACAUGCAAGUCGAACGGCAGCACGGGGCAACCUGGUGGCGAGUGGCGAACGGGUGAGUAAUACAUCGGAACGUGCCCAAUCGUGGGGGGAUAACGUAGCGAAAGUUACGCUAAUACCGCAUACGAUCUACGGAUGAAAGCGGGGGAUCGCAAGACCUCGCGCGAGUGGAGCGGCCGAUGUCAGAUUAGGUAGUUGGUGGGGUAAAGGCUCACCAAGCCAACGAUCUGUAGCUGGUCUGAGAGGACGACCAGCCACACUGGAACUGAGACACGGUCCAGACUCCUACGGGAGGCAGCAGUGGGGAAUUUUGGACAAUGGGCGCAAGCCUGAUCCAGCCAUUCCGCGUGCAGGAUGAAGGCCUUCGGGUUGUAAACUGCUUUUGUACGGAACGAAAGACUCCUUCUAAUAAGGGGUUCAUGACGGUACCGUAAGAAUAAGCACCGGACUAACUACGUGCCAGCAGCCGCGGUAACACGAG